rnacentral:rRNA from 1 species
CCUACGGGAGACAGCAGUGAGGAAUAUUGGUCAAUGGGCGCGAGCCUGAACCAGCCAAGUAGCGUGAAGGAUGACUGCCCAACGGGUUGUAAACUUCUUUUAUAAAGGAAUAAAGUGCGGCACGUGUGCCUUUUUGUAUGUACUUUAUGAAUAAGGAUCGGCUAACUCCGUGCCAGCAGCCGCGGUAAUACGGAGGAUCCGAGCGUUAUCCGGAUUUAUUGGGUUUAAAGGGAGCGUAGAUGGGUUGUUAAGUCAGUUGUGAAAGUUUGCGGCUCAACCGUAAAAUUGCAAUUGAUACUGGCAGGCUUGAGUACAGGUGAGGUAGGCGGAAUUCGUGGUGUAGCGGUGAAAUGCUUAGAUAUCACGAAGAACGCCGAUUGCGAAGGCAGCUUACUAAACUGCCACUGACAUUGAUGCUCGAAAGUGUGGGUAUCAAACAGGAUUAGAUACCCGAGUAGUC